rnacentral:tRNA from 1 species
GACCUGGUGGCCCAGUGGUAGAGCUCUUGCCUAUCACAUGGGUUACUUGGGUUUGAUUCCCAGCUGGGUCU